UACGUAGGGUCCGAGCGUUGUCCGGAAUUACUGGGCGUAAAGAGCGUGUAGGCGGCUAGAUAGGUCCGUUGUGAAAACUCGAGGCUCAACCUCGAGACGUCGAUGGAAACCAUCUGGCUAGAGUCCGGAAGAGGAGAGUGGAAUUCCUGGUGUAGCGGUGAAAUGCGCAGAUAUCAGGAAGAACACCCGUGGCGAAGGCGGCUCUCUGGUACGUGACUGACGCUGAGACGCGAAAGCGUGGGGAGCAAACAGG
rnacentral:rRNA from 1 species